rnacentral:rRNA from 1 species
CCCUUAGAAGUUCUGGGCCGCACGCGUGCUACACUGAGUGGAUCAGCGGGUCAGGUUGCGCGAAAGUGUUUCCUAAUCUUGAAAUCCGCUCGUGAUGGGGAUUGACGGUUGCAAUUUUCCGUCAUGAACGAGGAAUACCUUGUAAGCGCGGGUCAUCAUCCCGCGCUGAAUACGUCCCUGCCCUUUGUACACACCGCCCGUCGCUCCUACCGAUUGAGUGGUCCGGUGAGGCUUUGGGAUCUGAGCGGAAAGAGCGUUUCGCUGUUUCUGCUCGGAAAACUCAGUCGAACCUUAUCAUUUAGAGGAAGGAGAAGUCGUAACA